GUACAGCACAUAUACUAAAAUUGGAACACUACAGAGAAGAUUUGCAUGGCCCUUGUAAAAGAAUGGUACACAAAUUUGUGAAACAAUCCAUAUUUAU
rnacentral:snRNA from 1 species